CACACGUACAGCCGUUUUUCCCUCAGACCCGCUGGUGGGGGGAGAACAGAGUAAAGACUCCGGAGCCGAGAGACUGGAGCCGGUUGGGCCGCCGCUUCGCGUCACGACGGCGGCGGACGCCCGGAGGGUCUGCUCUUACCGCGACCCCUUUUCUGGCCGUCCCAGCCGCGCGUCUGGCCCCAGGGCACGGGAGGAAGGCUCGGGCCGCGGCGGGCAGGCGGCCCCUCGGCGGGAACGAGCCAGAAAAGAUGCAUCUUGGACAUGGACAUGUUUAACCGUCCCUGAGCAGUGUGUAUCAGGACUUGUUCAGCCAGCAGAGGGACAGAAGGAAGCGUCAAAGGAGAGGUGUGUGCAGGAUUCUGGAGAGAUGCACAGUGGAUGAUUUUGGCUUCCUCCGAAUAAUUCCUGAGAGGGCGUGUCUAGUGCCUCAGUGAGAGGACAUUGUCACCUGUGUCAACAGCUUUGAGGCUUCAGAUAAACUUGUGAGAGGGACAGCAAAUGCAAGGGAGCUUGGUGUUCCUGCACGCGGCCCCACCACACAGGAGGACGCACUGCCUCCUUCACGGUUUUUAAAAAGAUUCGCUCAUCCUGGGCCAAUAUGAGACCGUGCUCUGCUGAGACUCCACUGGAUCAGACAGAGUCUCCUCAAGAUCUGUAUCCACUUGGAACCUCAGAAUGUGAUCUUAUUUAGAAAUAGGGUCUUCGCCAAUAUAACUAAUGUAGCUAAGUUUAGGGAACAUCCUAAAUCAGGGUGGGCUCUAAAUCCAGUACCUGGCAUCCUUAGAAGAAGGAGAGAAUGCAGAGGGAACACAGUUACUCCACGUGCCUACAGAGGAGGAAAUGGAGUGAUGCAACCACAAGCCAAGGAAGGUCAAGGUUUGCCAGCAGCUGCCACACACCAGAAGAGAGGCCAGAACAGGUUCUUCCCUGGAGACCACAGAGGGAACGUAGGCCUGCUGAUUCUGUGAUGUGGGACUUCUGGCUUCCAGAACAGUGAGGGAAUACACCUGUGUUGUAUUAAGCCACCUACUUUGUAGGGCUUCCCUUGGAACUAAUACUGACGAUCUCUACAGAGUGUCCUAUUUGAAUCUCAGGUGUCUCUGGCAUUCCUGGGAGGGAUGAUAUUUCAAACUCGCAUUCUCCCUUACAGGGAAUCAUGUGUAAUACAGUCCCUGAAAGCAUACAAGGGGGAUGGAAGAAACUGUAAAGAUACUGGUGUCAAGAAUAGAAAGGAAAAGUUAGCUAGGAAGUGAUAAAAUAGCUCUUCUCUUUACUUCCCAAGUUCGCCAGCGUUUAAUGGACAAAAUGAAUAUUCUUAGCCAAAUACUUUGAUUAUAGGACUAGGGCAUACUUUUUAUUUUAAGAAAUCUCUUUUAAUACUGUGUAAGAAGUAUUGAGAAUGUAGGAGAUUUAUUAGUCAGGGCUCUGCUACUCACUGUGUGAUCUAGAGAAGUCUCUGACCUUCUCUGAACUUUGACUUUAUUCAUUGAUAAAUCUAUCAAUGAUAUAUUCAAUUGAUAUAUUCAUAUAAAUAAUAUACUCAAUGAUAUAUUCAAUUGAUAAAGUCAAUAACAGUAAUACCUGCUCUGCACACCUCACAGGUGGUGUAAAAAUCCACUGAGUUUGCUGGAAGUAAAAUCCUUUAUCAUUGAGACAAGUUUACAACUUACAGUUGGUGCUGGUGUAGAAAGGACAGUGGUGUGCAGCUCUGCCACUCGGUGUCAGUGGAGUCUCUUGGUGGUACAAAAAAUAAUAGAUGUUGCUUAUGUCUCUUUAUUUUUUUUUUUUUUUUUGAGACAGAGUCUCACUUUGUCGCCCUUGGAGAGUGCUGUGGCGUCAUAGCUCACAGCAACCUCAAACUCUUGGGUUCAAGUGAUUAUCUAGCCUCAGCCUCCCAAGUGGCUGGGACUACAGGCGCCCGCCACAACACCCAGCUAUUUUUUAGAGACAGGAUCUCACUCUUGCUCAUGCUGAUCUUAAACCUGUGAGCUCAGGCAAUCCACCCGCCUUGGCCUCCCAGAGUGCUGGGAUUAUAGGCUUGAGCCACCACGCCCAACCUUGCUUAAGUCUCUUGUUCCUUCACAUUUUUGAAGAAGCUUCUACCAGAUUGAGAAAAGGAGUCUCGUCAGCAUUUGGGGAAAACUUUUUAUUAAAACUUCUUGGAGGUUUUAACUCCAGGAGCACAUAGGCUUGCAAGGAUAUCUAGCCUAGGAAUGCUAUUUUACAGAGAAAAACUGUUUUUCGACCAUCUUCUUCGUAAGGAGAAGAUGAGCACAGAGGGGUAAAGAAAGAGCAGACAGAGAGAGUACAGCAAAGACCAGGACAGGUGUAUUCAAAUAAAACUGGGUCCAAAGGCAGCUCCCUUACAAUCUAUCUGCUUAUAUAGCCUGUUAGGUGGGAAAACCUGUUUGAGCCAGAGUAAGCCUGCUAGGGCAGGAAAGCCCAUUGAGGGUGAAGAUUUUUUCUUCGGAGGCCUGGCUGUGCUGGUCUCUGAGAAACGCCCUUCUACAAAUCAAAACCCAGGUGCUACAGAGAUGGCUGUCGGGGUAGAUGCCAUUUUGCAGUAGUCUGCCUCCCCCAUUCUCAAUUAUUGAUGCAUAUCAGAAAACUGGGGAGGGCAGACUUCAGGGAUGUUUUGCUAAGGAGCAUGAUGUGUCUGAGCAUUUGGGACCCACAGUAUCUGAUUUUGUUCCAGAGGUCACUUAAUAGUACAAAUGCUGAGCCUGGGAAACCUCUGCUCUGCCUUGUGUGGCUCUUGAACUAUAUGGGACUUAAUGCGAAAACUGCAUUACGAGGUCAAGGGCAUAGCCCCCAACAUACAGAUGUUCAUGGCUCCUAGUUUCCAGGGUUAAAUAUUUAUUAAAUGAAGACAUGACUGAGGAUGCAUAUCAAAGAGUGCACAAAGUCGCAGCUCUUGGCACAUUGUAUUCAUAACUGCAGGGAGAUCCUGCCAAGCUUGAAGGUGGUCUCUCCCCUUCCAGAGAGAUCUAGUCACAGUGAUGGCCCGCGGGUGUGAAUAAAGGGCUGUACAGUUUAAGGACUUGAGAAGUUAGAAGACAGUUCAAAGGACAGCUGUCAUCUGAUAAAGAGUUUAGAGGGGUGGCACCUGUGGUUCAAAGGAGUAGGGUGCUGGUCCCAUAUACCGAAGGUGGCAGGUUCAAACCCAGCCCCAGCCAGAAGCUGCAAAAAAAAAAAAAAAAAAAAGUUUAGAAAAGGUGUGUGUGGGUAGGUGCUGGGUAUUGAAAUUAUUUAAACCUGAUAAGAGGCCGAACAAAGUGUGACGCUUUAUUAGUUUUGUGUAUAUGGCAAGACCUCGGGAAAAGAUUGCAUUUACAUGGCCCAUGGGAUAAUCAGGGGAAGCUGCUCAAGACUAGAUUUCCGUCCUAGGCUUUGACAUUCCCGGGUUCUACCCUGCCCCAAGAACUGGGGGAGGUAAGAGCUGACCACACUGUGACCUGUGCCUGGCUUGGGGUGGUCACAGGCCUAUUAUGAAAUUGAUGUAGAGGUCCAGGACUGUUUUUUAGGAAGUAUUAGGAAAAGUAUGGUCAAUAUAAUGAAUGAAAGAUUUAAAUAAAAGGAGGCAAUGAUGAAUUCCUGGA